rnacentral:rRNA from 1 species
GUGUCAGCCGCCGCGGUAAGACGAGGGAUCCUAGCGUUGUUCGGAAUCAUUGGGCGUAAAGCGGGUGUAGGUGGCUUUGUAAGUCAGGUGUGAAAGCCUAGGGCUCAACCCUAGAAGUGCAUUUGAUACUGCGAAGCUUGAGUGCCGGAGAGGUUAUUAGAAUUCCAGGUGUAGUGGUGAAAUACGUAGAUAUCUGGAGGAAUACCGGAGGCGAAGGCGGAUAACUGGCCGGACACUGACACUCAGACCCGAAAGCGUGGGGAUCAAACAGGAUUAGAAACCCCCGUAGUCC